GCCGGGAUGGCGGAAUAGGUAGACGCACGGGACUUAAAAUCCCGUGGGAGUUUCUCCCGUGCCGGUUCGACCCCGGCUCUCGGUACCA
rnacentral:tRNA from 2 species